rnacentral:rRNA from 1 species
UUGAAAGGGAAACGAUUGAAGUCAGUCGUACCUGCGGGUAAUCAGCCUUUCGGGUAUGAUUCUGUGGAGCGUGAGGAGUUAAACGCCUUCAUGCCUGCAUAUUCGUGUACUUUGGGUGUACUUGCCUGUGUGGUUAGUUAACAUCAAUUUUGGUUAUCAUAAAAUGGUUGGAGGAAUGUAGCUUCGAUUUUGAUUGAAGUGUUAUAGCCUUCGGCAGAUGUGAUGAUCGGGAUUGAGGAUUGCAACGGAUACCCUUCGGGGCUACCUGUCUGGUCUCUGAUCGUUGCUUUGGUGCCGAAAGCGUGCUUACGGUUAUCAAAGUCGAUGGUCAAUAGGUUAGAACGGGUUAAAUUCGUUAAGGAUGUUGACGUA